rnacentral:lncRNA from 1 species
AUGCAUCAAGAACGGAGCAGUGAAGAGGCUUUGACAAGAGGAAGCUUCUAUGAACGAGAUGAUCAGGAUAUGGGAAAGGUUUGGGAGAUGGGACCGCAUGGAACUAAGUUAUGGCACAGUGGUGUCCUGCUCUGUAAACUGUCAGUUCACUGUCUAUCUGAAUUGAACCAUUCAGCAAGAUAUUGCACAUUAGGUCUUCUCAACUCCAGCUUAUGAAUGCCACACCUGAUUCGGCACUGAGAAGCCCCAGAAGUGGAGACAGAACUGAAAUGUUCUGUAGAGCCUCGGAACUUUCUCCAGGCAGAGUAAGAUGAUCUUUGUGUGCAUUCAAUUUAUUCUGCACUAUGCAGGCCUACUUUACUUUAGAGUAUAAACGGGACAUUGCAAAAUCGCAACAGAAAAAGGCAAAUUUUUCUUUUCUUUUCUUUUUGUGAGGAAGAUUGGCCCUGAGUCAACAUCUGUAGCCAAUCUCCCUCUUUUCGCUUGAGGAAGAUUGUUGCUGAGCUAACAUCUGUGGCAAUCUUCCUCUAUUUUGUGUGAGCUGCUGCCAAAGCAUGGCUUGACUAAAAGUACUAUGCCCAUGCCCAGGAUCUGAACCUGUGAACCCUGGGCUGCAGAAGUAGAGUGCAUGAACUUAACCACCAUGCCACCAGUUCAGCUCCAAGAUUUUCCGUCUAUAAUGAUUAUUGACUACACAUGACAACAAAAAAUAUAAAUAAUAAUUUAUUUAAACCAGUAAAAGUAAUCCUGAUUUUUCCCUAAAAUUUAUAUAAAAUAAUGCCUAAAACUCUUUCCCACCAAAUUAAAUGAAAAUGAACAUAAACUUUAGCAAUUUGAUAAAAAAUCAGUAAUAUUUGAGCCAGAAGAAAU